rnacentral:rRNA from 1 species
CAGUCGCCGCGGUAAUACGAAGGGUGCAAGCGUUAAUCGGAAUUACUGGGCGUAAAGCGUGCGUAGGCGGUUUGUUAAGUCUGUUGUGAAAUCCCCGGGCUCAACCUGGGAAUGGCGAUGGAUACUGGCAAGCUAGAGUGUGUCAGAGGAUGGUGGAAUUCCCGGUGUAGCGGUGAAAUGCGUAGAGAUCGGGAGGAACAUCAGUGGCGAAGGCGGCCAUCUGGGACAACACUGACGCUGAGGCACGAAAGCGUGGGGAGCAAACAGGAUUAGAUACCCCGGUAGUCCCUGUCUCUUAUAC